rnacentral:rRNA from 2 species
CUGUAACUGACGCUGAGACUCGAAAGCAUGGGUAGCAAACAGGAUUAGAUACCCUGGUAGUGCAUGCCGUAAACGAUGAGUGCUAGGUGUUGGAGGGUUUCCGCCCUUCAGUGCCGCAGCUAACGCAUUAAGCACUCCGCCUGGGGAGUACGACCGCAAGGUUGAAACUCAAAGGAAUUGACGGGGGCCCGCACAAGCGGUGGAGCAUGUGGUUUAAUUCGAAGCUACGCGAAGAACCUUACCAGGUCUUGACAUCUUCUGCCAAUCCUAGAGAUAGGACGUUCCCUUCGGGGACAGAAUGACAGGUGGUGCAUGGUUGUCGUCAGCUCGUGUCGUGAGAUGUUGGGUUAAGUCCCGCAACGAGCGCAACCCUUAUUAUCAGUUGCCAGCAUUCAGUUGGGCACUCUGGUGAGACUGCCGGUGACAAACCGGAGGAAGGUGGGGAUGACGUCAAAUCAUCAUGCCCCUUAUGACCUGGGCUACACACGUGCUACAAUGGACGGUACAACGAGUCGCGAAGUCGUGAGGCCAAGCUAAUCUCUUAAAGCCGUUCUCAGUUCGGAUUGUAGGCUGCAACUCGCCUACAUGAAGUUGGAAUCGCUAGUAAUCGCGGAUCAGCAUGCCGCGGUGAAUACGUUCCCGGGCCUUGUACACACCGCCCGUCACACCAUGAGAGUUUGUAACACCCAAAGUCGGUGAGGUAACCUUUUGGAGCCAACCGCCUAAGGUGGGACAGAUGAUUAGGGUGAAGUCGUAACAAGGUAGCCGUAGGAGAACCUGCGGCUGGAUCACCUCCUU